CGGCGAAAGCCGGAUUAAUACCGCAUGAGACCUACGGGUGAAAGCGGGGGAUCGCAAGACCUCGCGCUAUUGGAGCGGCCGAUAUCAGAUUAGGUAGUUGGUGGGGUAAAAGCCUACCAAGCCGACGAUCUGUAGCUGGUCUGAGAGGACGACCAGCCACACUGGGACUGAGACACGGCCCAGACUCCUACGGGAGGCAGCAGUGGGGAAUUUUGGACAAUGGGCGCAAGCCUGAUCCAGCCAUGCCGCGUGCGGGAAGAA
rnacentral:rRNA from 1 species